ensembl:lncRNA
CUUAGCCUGUAGUCCAGGCUUGGCACGUCACCAUCCUCAUAAAUGUUUAUUGACUUAACAGAUGAGGGAAGGCUUUUUCUUGUCUCCCUACUCCUGGCUACCUCUACCCCAGUCCUAGAAAAUUCCAUGAGAAAUGAAAACGUAUUUCCACACAAAGACUUGUACAUGAACGUUUAUGGACGUUUUAUUUACAACAGCCAAAUCUGGAAGCAAUCUAAAUGCCCAUUACCAGAGAAUGCUGACAAAAGUCCAUCUAGUCAAAGCUAUGGUUUUUCCAGUGGUCAUGUACGGAUGACUAUAAAGAAAGCGGAGCACCGAAGAAUGGAUGCUUUUGAGCUGUGGUGUUGGAGAAGACUCUUGAGAGUCCCUUGGACAGCAAGGGGAUCCAGUCAGUCCAUCCUGGAGGAAAUCAGUCCUGAAUAUGCAUUGGAAGGACUGAUGCUGAAUUGGAAAUAUCAAUCCUUUGGCCACCUCAUGUGAAGAACUGACUCAUUGGAAAAGAUCCUGAUGCUGGGAAAGAUUGAAGGCACAGGUGGGAAUGCUGUACAUGGCCAAAGAAAAGAACUUUGAACUGGAAGGGAGUACCAGGACUGGAAAAGGUCAGUUUUCAUCCCAAUCCCAAAGAAAGGCAAUG